rnacentral:rRNA from 1 species
AGUGAACGCUGGCGGUAGGCCUAACACAUGCAAGUCGAACGGCAGCACAGUAAGAGCUUGCUCUUACGGGUGGCGAGUGGCGGACGGGUGAGGAAUACAUCGGAAUCUACUUUUUCGUGGGGGAUAACGUAGGGAAACUUACGCUAAUACCGCAUACGACCUACGGGUGAAAGCAGGGGAUCUUCGGACCUUGCGCGAUUGAAUGAGCCGAUGUCGGAUUAGCUAGUUGGCGGGGUAAAGGCCCACCAAGGCGACGAUCCGUAGCUGGUCUGAGAGGAUGAUCAGCCACACUGGAACUGAGACACGGUCCAGACUCCUACGGGAGGCAGCAGUGGGGAAUAUUGGACAAUGGGCGCAAGCCUGAUCCAGCCAUACCGCGUGGGUGAAGAAGGCCUUCGGGUUGUAAAGCCCUUUUGGUUGGAAAGAAAAGCAGCAGGUUAAUACCCCGCUGUUCUGACGGUACCCAAAGAAUAAGCACCGGCUAACUUCGUG